rnacentral:snRNA from 1 species
UUCAUUUCAGCGAAAUCUAAG